GCACGCACACACACCCUUGGGACACUGGUGAGAGGCUGUCUGGUCAGGUUACUGGAGGGGCCAGGAAGCAGGAGAUGGAGUUAUGACUGCCCUUGGCAGAGGUGAUCUGGGAAGGCUUCAAAGAGGAAGCGCCAUUUCAAUUGGCUUUGAAGAAUGAAACUCAGUUUGUUCAUCUGUAAAGUGAGCACUGAGCAUGCAGACUGAGAUAAGAAAUCCAGAGAGGCCACGUUUUCUCCCCAUGAAAGCAAGGAUCAGCAAACUCUGGCCUACUGAUGGAGCCUGGCACAGCACCUGGGUCUGCACAGCCCACAAGCUAAGACUGGGUUUUAUAUCUUUAAAUGGUUGAAAAGUGAUUGAAUGAAGAGUAAUGUUUUGUCACCUGGAAGGAUGACAUGAAAUGUAAUUGUCAGCGAUCGUAAAUAAAGCUUACCCAUUUA